rnacentral:misc_RNA from 1 species
AAACUGCGAUACGUAGUGUGAAUUGCAGAAUUCAGUGAAUCAUCGAAUCUUUGAACGCAAAUUGCGCUGCUGGGCUAUUCCCGGCAGUAUGCUUGGCUGAGUAUCAUCUGGACAAAUCGGCCAAAUCUUAUUUUGGAAUGGCCGGAAGUGAGGGUCGUAGUAACUGCGUCCCUUCAAGUCUAGUGUGGUAUUAGCAUGUAUUUGCUAGAAAAUGGCGAAUCAUGUCUUUUGCCGCUCAGUGUGUCAAGUGUUUAUGCAAAGAGUUCUUACGCUCUGCACCAAAACAUGAGCACUGAUUACAGCAGCAACUGACAUGGCGUCCGCCCAACAAAAUUUUGAUCUCAGCUCAAGCAAGACUACCCGCUGAAUUUAA